UUUAACGCUCGCGGCAGGCCUAACACAUGCAAGCCGAGCGGAUGACGGGAGCUUGCUCCUUGAUUCAGCGGCGGACGGGUGAGUAAUGCCAAGGAAUCUGCCUGGUAGUGGGGGACAACGUUUCGAAAGGAACGCUAAUACCGCAUACGUCCUACGGGAGAAAGCAGGGGACCUUCGGGCCUUGCGCUAUCAGAUGAGCCUAGGUCGGAUUAGCUAGUUGGUGGGGUAAUGGCUCACCAAGGCGACGAUCCGUAACUGGUCUGAGAGGAUGAUAGGUAACACUGGAACUGAGACACGGUCCAGACUCCUACGGGAGGCAGCAGUGGGGAAUAUUGGACAAUGGGCGAAAGCCUGAUCCAGCCAUGCCGCGUGUGUGAAGAAGAUAUUCGGAUUGUAAAGCACUUUAAGUUGGGAGGAAGGGCAGUAGCUAAUACCUUGCUGUUUUGACGUUACCGACAGAAUAAGCACCGGCUAACUCUGUGCCAGCCGCCGCCGUAA
rnacentral:rRNA from 1 species